UACGUAGGCAGCAAGCGUUGUUCGGAAUUACUGGGCGUAAAGAGUGUGUAGGCGGUGCUCUAAGUUCGGUGUGAAAUCUCCCGCUUAACUGGGAGGGUGCGCCGGAAACUGGAGUGCUCGAGCGUGGGAGAGGAAAGCGGAAGUUCCUGGUGUAGCGGUGAAAUGCGUAGAUAUCAGGAGGAACACCUGCGGUGUAGACGGCUUUCUGGACCAUUGCUGACGCUGAGACACGAAAGCGUGGGUAGCAAACAGG
rnacentral:rRNA from 1 species